AUUCUCAGGAAUGAUCAAUUGCAAAGGUUGGAAAUAUGCGGAGGAUAUCUAUCUGAUGAAGCGAGUACUCCUUUGUCCUAUCUCUGAAAAGAAUAAGUCUGGGGAGAGAAAGAAUAUAAAAAU
rnacentral:sRNA from 1 species